AGAGGCUUCUGCCAUCAGAUCCCUCACCACGACGGACUCGAGGUUUCUGCCAUCAGAUCCCUCACUAAGGACCGUAUGCUGACAGACUUCCCUGGGCCUGCUACCUGAGACCUGCUGCUUCCUCCCAGGCUUACUCUGUGGCUUCUUCUGGGACCCACCCAGUACCUGCACCCUCUCGUUGCCCAAGACCGGCCUUGCUGCUCCUGCCCUUCAACCUCAGACCAUCGGAAAGUCAUGCAACGGGACUACUGCUGGAUCAUGGUGGAACACCGUAUGCAAGUCUGACAGGAUCUAUUGAACCAAAACAAGGCUGAAGGUGACCGUUUCCUGGGUUACAUCACUACUGGUGAUGAGAUAUGCUGUCACUACUACAAUCUGGAAGCAAAAUGUCAGUCCAUGUAGUGUCAACAUGUGAAUUCCCCACUGAAGAAAAAGUUCAAGAUGCAGCCCUCAGAAAAUAAAGUAUUGUGCAUGGUCUUUUGAGGUAGGAAAGUGAUGAUCCUUCUAGAUUUCCUGAAACAUGGACAAACCAUCAAUUCUGACCACUGCACCAUAACACUGGCUAAUCUGAAGGCUCUAAUUUCCAGAAUCAGUCCAGAGAAAAAGACAACCUUUUUCUCGCAUCACGGUAACUUCAGGCCCCAUACCAGUUUGAAGACCAUGGAGUACAUUACCAAUCUUGGCUGCACUGUCCCACACCAUCCACUCUACAGUCCAGAUUUGGUGACUUCUGACAUCCAUCUCUUCAGGACAAAAGAUAGACUGUGUGGACAUAUGGACAAUGUUUUCCUAGUGACGAUGUCAUCAUAGCAGCUGUGAAACUGUUGGCCACCCCAGUAUUACAGACUUUAAUGAGCAUAGCACGAAGGCUCUUGUUCAUUGCUGGUGAAAAUGCACAGCUAAUGCUGGUGAAUACAUUGAAAAAGAGUGUUUUGAAGUUCAGAAUUUGCUCUAUCAAAUAGUGUUAAUGUGCUAUUUGUAUCAGUUGUAGUUUCCAUGGAAAUAAAAGGAGGCAUUACAUUCAAAACAACCUAUGUAGAAUACGAACAAUGACAUACAAGUUAAGAUCAUAAGAAAUAACAGAUUAAAACUGAGUAAAAAGUAUAAAACUAUGUCUAAAAAAUUAAUGAAAAAGUGCUUCAUCUAUGUUCAUAGUAAAUAUCAAAACCUCUGUUGUGAGGUGAAGAACUAUAAAUAAUUUUUAUGAUAGUUGUAAAACACAGUCCUGCUUUGUACUCUGGUCAGAAAUCAUCAUAAGCUGAACCAUACAGUGCUCCCAACUAUUUUUCUAAAGACAUUAAAUAACUUCCUAUAUUCUUCUUAGAACUCCAUAUUCAAAUUGAUACUCCUUGGUCUUUUAUAUAUUUAUUUAUUAUUUUUUUACAUACUUCACUUGUAUCUCAGAAACUGAUAUUCUCUCAAUCCUAAACCAACCUAACUCAGUUCUCUUACUAAUUAAUAUGUAGGUGAUUCCUGAUAGCAGUACUCCAGUACUCUAUCUUCUCUCCUGUUUUCAGUUCCACCCAUUCUGUGGACACUAAGUGAAAGUAAAGAGCACAGCUAUUCUUUGCAACACAGUAUGUGCAACAGUUUAGCCUCCUAAAGGAGAGUCUCUCCUUCAAUCUGUUUCAAUCUCUAUUCCAUUAUGUAAAUCAAAUAACAAACAAACAAACAAACAAAUGAGAGAGAGAGAAAAAGAAGAAAAGUAACAGAAAUAAGAGCACAUGUAGAAAAAUGCUAAAUUCCGCAUUUUAUAUGGAGAAGGGAAGACACAUUCAUCCAUAAAUGCCAUCCAGUAAUUACUCUGGAAGGUGGUUUUAUUCAUAACAGUUGCUGGGAAGAGAAGUAUCUAUCAACAGUUGCUAGUAGUUUAUAUGACUAGAAACAACAGUUGAAGCAAAUAAAAAUCUGAGUGUUGGGGCAAGUAUAUUCUGGAAAGUAUCCUGGGUUGGUAAUGUCCAGGAGAAAAAUCGAACAAUAGAAAGUCCUCCAGACCAGUAUGUUGUCUCCAACUCUGACCCAAUCCAGAAAUUAAGAGAAGAGUAAGAACCAAUAAAAAUUGUCUCAACUUAAAAUUUCCAUAACCUCCAACAUUCUUCAUCUCCAAGUAUUUCUUGAAUAAGAGAGUGUCCUUUAACGAUCCUCAAUGGAUAUCUCUUCUAAAGAUUUACUUAGUCUUCUUUCAACCCAUGCAUCCACAUUGUCCUUUGCUGAGCCUCUACACAGGUCUGCUAUUUGAAAAUUGGGUAAUUCUAUAUGUAUCACUUACAAGAUAAUAUCAGACAGAAUAGUAAUAACAGACAAAACUAAGACAGACCUAUAUUUAAUUCUUAUUGUAUAUACCCAGAACAAUUACCAAUACUCACAAACUUGUUGCAUCUCAGAUAUAAUUAUCUGUUUAUAAAUUAUUUAUUUAUACUACAGCAGAAUUAGGUUACUUGAAAUUUCCUGUUACUCUCUCCAAAUGGCAUCUUCACAUUAAAACUACUGGCCAUUCUGCAAAGUUAGUCUGCUAAAGAGUGUAGAAUCUGUACAGGAUUAACUCAUAACACAUUAGAGUAAAUGUCAUUUGUUGAUUAAUUUAGAAGGCUAUCAUUUGCAUGACCUUUCUUAGAUUGUUUGCUUGUUUCUGCUUUGUUUUGUCGUUGCUAGAACACCAUAUUUGGAGGCUUCAUUUUGCAGACUUAUUUCAGAAAAUCACUUCUCCAUCAUGUAUGUAGACUCCUGAAUUGAGAGAUUUCCCUUUUUGAAGAGAAGUCACUUGUGUUCUAACAAGUUGUAAACUGCAUGAAGGAACCUACCAAAUCUAAGUUUUAGACCUGAACUUGACCCUUUUUGGUUGGCUUUGUAUUUUGCUGUGAUCCUUUUUCAUUUUGAAUUCUUUUUCUUGUAAGAGAGCAUAUGGCCUAUAAAUCACUCUUUAGAAACAUAGACAGCAGUAUCUGACAAGAAAGCAGUGAGUUUUGCGUUUGAAUCUUAAAAGGAAACAUUUUCAGAUAGAUUUUACAGGAGCCAGGAGACAAAAUGAUGAAUCACCGCAAAUUAUUUUAUCCAAAAAUAAUAUCUUUUAAAGACUUUUUUUUUUAAGAGUGAAGACAAAACGCUGUGAUUUCCUAAAUGAUUUGUAAAUUAUCAUCAACUCUGCCUUAAUGAAUAUUAUUUUUCUCUAGUGAAGAUUUUUAAGUCUCAGAUGGGUUUCGAGGACUAACUAUAUAGAUGGUUUGAGGAAGAACACAGACAAUGUCUCUGCAUCAUAAUUAUAGCAACCCUCUUCUUUCCAGCAUCAACCAGCUAUACGCAGAGUACUGGGAGAUAAAUGUGGGAGCUGUAAGCUUGACGUCUAAUAUCUGCUACUGAAGAUUUGGAAUUUGAUUUAAUGCUUCUGUUGAAUGGUUUGAAAAAAACAGGUCUUCCAUCUUCUUUUAAUAAAUUCAUUUUCAGACCUG
ensembl:lncRNA